GAGCUCACUUUGGCAGCACGUAUACUAAAAUGGGAACGAUAUAGAGAUUAGCAUGGUCCCUGCGCAAGGAUGACAUGCAAAUUAGUAAAGUGUUCCAAAAAAAU
ensembl:snRNA U6 U6 spliceosomal RNA